GACGAACGCUGGCGGCGUGCUUAACACGUGCAAGUCGAACGGUGAAGGGACCAGCUUGCUGGUUCUGGAUGAGUGGCGAACGGGUGAGUAACACGUGAGUAACCUGCCCCCUUCUUCUGGAUAACCGCAUGAAAGUGUGGCUAAUACGGGAUAUUCUGGGUCUGUCGCAUGGCGGGCCCGGGAAAGAUAUUGCUUCGGUGGGGGAUGGGCUCGCGGCCUAUCAGCUUGUUGGUGGGGUGAUGGCCUACCAAGGCGGUGACGGGUAGCCGGCCUGAGAGGGGGGACGGUCACACUGGGACUGAGACACGGCCCAGACUCCUACGGGAGGCAGCAGUGGGGAAUAUUGCACAAUGGGCGCAAGCCUGAUGCAGCGACGCCGCGUGAGGGAUGGAGGCCUUCGGGUUGUAAACCUCUUUCGCCAGUGAAGCAGGCCUGCUCCUUGUGGGUGGGUUGACGGUAGCUGGAUAAGAAGCGCCGGCUAACUACGUG
rnacentral:rRNA from 1 species